GGCUGGGCCGGGAAAAAAAGGGAAAAUCUCUUGUAUGACCAAUUCGACAGUCCGAUGAUCAGGCUGGAGCAUUGCAAUCUGAAGCUAAUACAAGCACCCAACAAGUUGCACUUCAACAUAGUGUAUCUACAAAUACAAGCAAUGUCAAUGGUCUAAACAUACCAAAAAGAUCUUCUUGGAUCCGUUUAUUUGAUGAGCCUGAGGUUCCUGAAGCAUCGAAUGGUACGAAAAAUGGAAGAAGAUGUGCAAAUAUCCAAGCUGAUGGUAAGGAGACCGCUACAAAAACUUUAGCUAAUGGGAUGGCAUUACCCACAUCUAUUGGGAUGCAAACUGAUAGUACUCCUUCCUCACAAAAUGUUGGAUCCAAUCAGUCCAUUGGUUACGAAAGUAAUGAAACUGGAAAUAGCAGGGAUCUUGAUUCAAAUGGAAAUGACCAAGUGAAUGCGCAGAGUAAAAGGGUAUUUACUCGUAACAUUGCAUUGUCAAAUAUAAAGAAGGCUGGGCAAAAGGUGCAUGUUCAAGUUUCAGAAAUGAGUGAAAGAUUCAUUGGAGAAGGUGCUUAAUGAUACAUUUCAGAAGCAAGUUGUGUGAUUCGGAAAUAUGGCAAAUGGAAAGGCCCCAAAUGGUCUCGACUCUCUAAAGAAGAUAGAGAACAAAUGCUGAAAAUUGCUAAUAAUAGCUUUACUCAUGAUGAAGGAGAUCAUGUCAAACAAGCUUUGGUUAAGCAGUUCAAUUCGCAACACCGAAGUCGACGAUAUACUUUUCACAUGAUUUUUAGGACAUUCGAGACAAAAGAGGGAAGCUCUUGCAAACCGUCCACCAUAUGUGGAAGAAUCUGACUGGAUUUACCUAUGUGACUACUUUUAUAGUUCAGAAUUUAAGGCAAUAAGUGAGUGAAAUAAGACGAAUAGAUCCAAGCAAAAACCUGCUCACACAGCUGGGACAAAAUCUUUUCUCCGUCAUAAGGCCGAUAGGGAAGUAAAAGAGGGAAGGAUAGUUGGACCAAUAGAGCUUUGUCACAUGACGCACUUUAGCGGGAAGAAGAAUGCUAUGGUUGAUGACAUAUCAGCUAAAAACUCAGUAAGAAAAAUGCUAAUCUCAACUUCACUCUCAUUAUUUCAGAUCUCCUAUUCAUAUAUUAGCUUUGAAAAUCUAUUUUUGUAGAGGAAGAUGAAAGAGAUGUAGUUGGAAUCUCAAGCUAGUGGUGCAAGUAGGACUGAGGAAGACAUAUGCAUUGAAGUUACUGGGCACAUAACUGGAUAUGUGCGUGGUCAUGGCCCCUCCAAAGCUAGCUUAAUAGUACAGAAGAUUGCAGAGAUUCAAGAGUUCAAGAAGAGAGCAGAACAAGCUGAGAAACGCUCAGUUGAGUUGGAAAUUCAAGUUCAAUCUCAACAACAACUUAUGCAAAGGCUUGAGCUCCAACAAACUGAAAUCAAAACCAGCAAACUGAAAUGCAGGAUCUCCUUAAGGCUUUAAGAGCCAAAUUGCAAUCUAGGAAGUAGGGCAAUGAAGUUCAUUGGACAAUCUUUGAUGAUUUGUCCAUUGAAUUGCUGUUUUUGGAUGAUCAUGAAUUAUGACUGGGCUGAUGAAUAUUAGAGAAUAUGGCUUUGACUGGAAGACAUUGGAGAGGCUAGUAGCUUUUGCUCAUGCCGUGCUUCACUUUAGGACUUUUCUUGUUUUUUGGACUGAACUUCUUUUUGUAAAGUUACAUUGUUUAGAUGCCAU